AUGUACUCCCUCUGUCCGGAAAACUCGUCGGAAAAAUGCAUAAAAAUGGAUGUAUCUAGAACUAAAAUACUUCUAGAUACAUCCAUUCCUCCGACAAGUAUUUCGGGAUGGAGGGAGUAUAAAAUAUUGGAGCACACUCAUCACGCUCACCACCAACCCAAUCCAAUCACCAUCGUGGACCACAGACCAACCGAGCUAACUAUACUGCCAGAUCCCCUCAUCGUGCUCCUUUUGCUGCUAGCUGGCUUUGUUGUUGCCUGUCCAUGCCAGCAUCGGCCAUGGAGCUCUGCCGCCUUCCGCUGGUCCUUUUGCUCUGCUUGCUGGCGCACUCAUCCCCUCUGCUUGCACUGGGUGAGUUUGGGCAUUCCUGGUUGA
rnacentral:rRNA from 1 species